UUGCGGAGUAGAGCAGUGGUAGCUCGGCGCCCUCAUGAGGCGUAGGUCCCCAGUUCGAGCCUGGGCUCCGCAAUC
rnacentral:tRNA from 1 species